rnacentral:lncRNA from 1 species
AGAUUUAAUUUAGGUCUCUUUCAUUUAAUUAUCUACAUCUCAUGCAAAUAAUUAUCUACCCGCUAUGCAUAAACAUAAACAUAAACAUCCAGGCAUAAUAACAAAAAUUAAACUGGUGAUGAUCAUGGAUCCAGGAUGGGGUCAUAGUACAAGUACAUGCACGUCAAUUGGUUAGAUCGUCUUCAACUCUUGACUCGAUCUUGAGCACCCUAGGUCCAAUUGCGAUCAACUCCUUGAUCCAUCUUCAAUCAACCCUUGAUCUCGAUCCGCGCA